rnacentral:lncRNA from 1 species
AUGCGUCCGGAGUCAGCCCUGGAUUCCAAUCCUGGCUCUGCCACGUGGACGGUGACCUGUCGGAAAAUGGAGAGCCCGGUGCCCAACCUGCAGCCCAGCUCAGUGGUCACGAAAGGGUCUGGGGGGCAGGGGCGGCAGAUGGAAAACGGGUGCGGCUCUUUCCUUCAUCUGUCUGCGCACGGACUUCCCCAAGGUCCCCCCUCAGUGCACCCCCUUUUCUCCUCUUUGCCCUCCUGGCUUAAGUGCGUUGGUCUCUUACUGGGUGCCCCCACAGCAUCCCAUGGAUCCCAGAUGGAUGAACAGAUGACUGGAUGGACUCAAAACUCCCGAGGUCUGACCCACGGGAGGUGCUCGGCCAAUGCCGCCCCUCCCCUGGCCCCUUGGCGGCGGGGGGGGGGGGGACACGGCGGGCCGGCCACUGCUACUCAAGUCCUGGAAGCAGCCCAGAUGGGAAGCAGAAGUGCCCCGGGGUGCCCUGGCAAUCAGGCCAGAUCCCCCGUGGGGCGCGCUGGGACCGGCGCGGGGCCCAGCCGCCCUCCCGCUGCGACGCGCAUGCUCCAUGCCCCCCACCCGCCGCGCUUGGUUCCCACGCCGCCGCCACCGCCGCCGCUGCCGCCCCGGCCCCGCCCGCUCCCCGCCCACCUCCAGGCCCUGCUCCUGGCUCUAGACAGAAGAGGACGGACAGCCUCGCAGAACGCGCCUCCUGAGAGCGGCGCCCAGCUGGCAAGGGAGCCCCCGGAAGGGUGCCGGUAUCGUUUGAAGACGUGCCCGUGUACUUCAUCAAGACAGGAUGGAAGCUUCUGGACCUCAGUCAAAGGAUCCCCUCUACAAGAGAGUGUUGCUGGAGAACUACCGCCAUUUGGUGUCACUGGAUGCUGACGCCGGUCUGA